UACGUAGGGUGCAAGCGUUGUCCGGAAUUAUUGGGCGUAAAGAGCUCGUAGGCGGUUUGUCGCGUCUGCUGUGAAAUCUCUGGGCUUAACCCAGAACGGCCAGCUGAUACUGCUUUGCUAGAGUGCAGAAGGGGCAAUCGGAAUUCUUGGUGUAGCGGUGAAAUGCGUAGAUAUCAAGAGGAACACCUGAGGUGAAGACGGGUUGCUGGGCUGACACUGACGCUGAGGCGCGAAAGCCAGGGGAGCAAACGGG
rnacentral:rRNA from 1 species